rnacentral:rRNA from 1 species
UACAGGGGGUGCAAGCGUUGCUCGGAAUUAUUGGGCGUAAAGCGCGCGUAGGCGGCUACUUAUGUCGGAUGUGAAAGCCCUUGGCUCAACUGAGGAAGUGCACCCGAAACUGAGUAGCUGGAGUACGAAAGAGGGUCGCGGAAUUCCCGGUGUAGAGGUGAAAUUCGUAGAUAUCGGGAGGAACACCGGUGGCGAAGGCGGCGACCUGGGUCGAUACUGACGCUGGAGCGCGAAAGCGUGGGGAGCAAACAGG